UACGUAGGGGGCUAGCGUUGUCCGGAAUCAUUGGGCGUAAAGAGCGUGUAGGCGGUCCGGUAAGUCCGCUGUGAAAGUCGGGGGCUCAACCCUGGAAAGCCGGUGGAUACUGUCGGGCUAGAGUCCGGAAGAGGCGAGUGGAAUUCCUGGUGUAGCGGUGGAAUGCGCAGAUAUCAGGAGGAACACCAAUAGCGAAGGCAGCUCGCUGGGACGGUACUGACGCUGAGGUGCGAAAGCGUGGGGAGCGAACAGG
rnacentral:rRNA from 1 species